UGCCGCGUCGCCACGCAGAACUCAAAUUUUGCAGUACACGGAUACUACGAACAUACACACUGCAAACAACACGUGAGUAGUACAGUGGCGCGCACACGUACGUGCACGUGUGUUGUACUGUAUGCUGAGCGCAAGCGCGCGGUGGCUCAUUGGUUCAUUUUCGCGACUAGUCUGGGAAUCGCUGACACACCUGAUGACAUUGAUGAAGAGGAAGUCAUUAAGAGAAGAUGAUGGAGCAAGGAAUGAGUGGGCAGCAUCAGUGAAGAGCACAGAACCUGGAUCCUAAAAAAUCCACCAGGAGAUUUGUGGAAGAUUGAGGAAGGUAGAGCCCAGCCCAGCCUCUUUGAAGCUCUUACAAGUUUGGCCUCACAGAAAAUGAUGAAGAUGGCUCUGAUGUUAGCUGUAGCACAGACAGUGAAGAAGCGGGCUCAGGAGACUCAAUUCCAGUGAGGACCCAAGUGACAGCCACUCUGACAGUGACGAGGACCAAGAACAGUGGAUGGAGAAAACAGCAGAUUUGGGAAGGCCUCAUUGCCAGGUGAAUGUACUGCCAUGGCUGCCUACAUGAACGUUGAGGCUGGCUAGCGUCAUGGUGUGAGUGGACUGACCGAUGAUAUCUCCAAAGUGAAGAGGCAGGUUACAUCAUAAGUAACACAGACCUCCUCGUAUGAAAGCUGGUGGUAUGCCCCAGGGGAAGCAGACCAUGAUGAUGAUGAGAAAAGCGCCCUUGCCUCCUUCAACCUGGAGAGAAAGGAAGAUGGAGGACAAGAUCCUAUGGGACUUCACAGAGAUGAUUCAUGGGAAUGUCAGGGAGAGGAAGGAACUCAGAUAGAUGCCAGUCCUCACCUCCAUCACUGAGAUUGCAUGAGGGAUCCUCA